rnacentral:rRNA from 1 species
UACGAAGGGGGCUAGCGUUGUUCGGAAUUACUGGGCGUAAAGGGCGCGUAGGCGGCCAUCUAAGUCAGACGUGAAAUCCCUCGGCUCAACCGAGGAACUGCGUCUGAUACUGGAAGGCUUGAAUCCGGGAGAGGGAUGUGGAAUUCCAGGUGUAGCGGUGAAAAUGCGUAGAUAUCUGGAGGAACACCGGUGGCGAAGGCGGCAUCCUGGACCGGUAUUGACGCUGAAGCGCGAAAGCUAGGGGAGCAAACGGG